rnacentral:rRNA from 1 species
UACGGAGGGUGCGAGCGUUGUUCGGAAUCACUGGGCGUAAAGCGCGUGUAGGCGGCCCACUAAGUCUGAUGUGAAAGCCCGGGGCUCACCCCCGGAAGUGCAUUGGAAACUGGUGGACUAGAGUCCCGGAGAGGAGAGUGGAAUUCCUGGUGUAGCGGUGAAAUGCGUAGAUAUCAGGAGGAACACCGGUGGCGAAGGCGGCUCUCGUGGACGGUGACUGACGCUGAGACGCGAAAGCGUGGGGAGCAAACAGG